AUCGCUUCUCGGCCUUUUGGCUAAGAUCAAGUGUAAAAACUCAAUCGGAAGUCCAUCUGGACCUGGGGUCUUGUUACUUUUUUGGGUUUUAAUUACAUCAACCAAUUCCUGCAUUGAGAUUGGGCUCUCCAAACUUGCUUGCUGUUCCCUUGUUAAUUGUUUCAUUUCGACUCCUUUAAUAUAAUUUUCUUGCU